AGCCACACCUUGUGACACUGAGGUGAAAAGGCAGGUCGGGUGAAGAAGAGCAGGAUGUUUCAUUUUUAUCAAGCAUCACCUGAUUCAAAAUGUAGCCACUGAAAAGAAGCCAUCGUUUUUGGCCUGCGUCUCUGAGGAUAAGAUACCUCAGGAGGACAACGUCAGAAACCAAAAGCUCCUCUGCCCAGGGAUGGGGACCCGCCGACUUCAAGGGCAGAACAGGAGAUGUGUUUGUUUGAGUAGAUCAGCUAUGAAAAUACCCAGCCGGCCUGCAGCCCUCCCGGCAGAUGCUGAAAAGGAAACCCGACUGGGAGAUGCCGCCCACCCUUAUCCCCAGAGAGCUGCGUUGUUUCCUCUUGCCUUGGCCUUUGGAUCCGGCCAUAGCAAGCAUCCCUGGGCACCUGGCUGAAGCUGGAAACUCGGGAUAAGAAUGGAAGCCCUGGAAGGGAAGAAGAACCGAGGAGUGAGCUUGCCCUGAGGACAGCACAUUGCACUCUCACCUCCUUUGCAGUUAAGUGUGAAAUAGUGCCAAUAGAGUGUAAAAGAAAAGAAAGAAGAUGAUUCACCUCCCAAAGAUUCCCCACUGCUGUGUCCCUUCUAUCAACUUGAUACAAAAAAACACAAUGGCCCCGGGAACCACGUGUUGAAGAUGAGAGAGCUAAAAGAUGGAAAGAGACUGGAGCCCUGAGUCACCACCUGGAGGAAAACUACCCACCCAUCAGGAAUUUCUACUACACAUUUGGGAGUUUUUGGGGUUACAGCAGCUAAUUUAACGAAAACACCCAGAGACAAGAGCUAUUACUGCACAAAUUGGUUAAGUUACCUUUUUGUAUGUUUGGGUCCUCUCUAUUCGAUGAGACUGCGCGUUCCUUUGAAGCAAAUCUGUUUAAAAUUCUUAUAUCCCCAGAGGGCCUAGCAGAGAGUAUGCACAGAGUGAGCCUUCAGUAAAUGCUGAGUAAAUAAGCUCCUAAUGGAUGAAACUGUGUCUUCGAAGUUUGUUCUGACCAGUACUUAGUAUAGGAUUUUGUGCUGUUGGUCACUUUUCAUAAAGGUUCUUGCUAUUAAGGAACUUGACAUCCAAUGUACUCAUAGAAAGUAGAAAUUCAGGGGAAACAAAUAGAAGAGAUAUGUCCAAAAAUCCAUUUAAAAUUUCAUUGACAGAUAUUUAUCUCUUUAAUCCUGGAAGUUGUUUCAUGUAAGGGAAGGUUCAGUAGAAUGAAAACAGGACUGUAAGCUGGGAGGAGAUUUGGGGUCUCUUGGCCAACUCUGCCACAAAUUGUGUUACCUUCAACUUCCCUGCCUGUAAAAUGAAGUCAGUGGUCCCUAAAAUGAAAUUGGACUAAUGGCAAAUUAGCUAGCAUUUGAUUAUACAUCGAUAGUUUCCCCAUGUGAUUUUAACGCACAAAUCAGAUUUUGGAACCAUUAGGUAGGUGAUCUUAUCUUAUGAGUUUAUCUUUUUCAACAUGGAAAAAUAAAUUUGUUUUGCUGACCGAAGGCUGUGUAACUUAGAACUGGAAAGAGACAUGUAAUUGAAUAACCCAUCUCUAUGGGGCAAAAAAAUGAAACACCUUUAGUUUGUUCAAAGAUGAAAUGGAAAAAUAAACAUGUUUUAAGAUGA
ensembl:lncRNA LINC01093 long intergenic non-protein coding RNA 1093